rnacentral:rRNA from 1 species
GAUGAACGCUGGCGGCGUGYUUAACACAUGCAAGUCGAACGGGAAACAUUUUAUUGAAGCUUCGGCAGAUCUAGCUUGUUUCUAGUGGCGGACGGGUGAGUAACGCGUGGGUAACCUGCCUCGCACUGGGGGAUAACAGUCAGAAAUGGCUGCUAAUWCCGCAUAAGCGCACAGCAUCGCAUGAUGCAGUGUGAAAAACUCCGGUGGUGUGAGAUGGACCCGCGUUGGAUUAGCUAKUUGGCAGGGCAGCGGCCUACCAAGGCGACGAUCCAUAGCCGGCCUGAGAGGGUGAACGGCCACAUUGGGACUGAGACACGGCCCAGACUCCUACGGGAGGCAGCAGUGGGGAAUAUUGCACAAUGGGGGAAACCCUGAUGCAGCGACGCCGCGUGAAGGAAGAAGUAUCUCGGUAKGUAAACUUCUAUCAG